UCGGGCGUGGUGUACGGCGCACGCUCCCCUCUUCUAAACGGGAAUUGAGGCGUAAGUGAGUGGGAGAGAGCCGGGUUCGACUCCCGCCGCCCGAA